UACGGAGGAUGCAAGCGUUAUCCGGAAUGAUUGGGCGUAAAGGGUCCGCAGGUGGCAGUGUAAGUCUGCUGUCAAAGAAUGAGGCUUAACCUCAUCAAGGCAGUGGAAACUACACAGCUAGAGUACGGUCGGGGUAGAAGGAAUUCCUGGUGUAGCGGUGAAAUGCGUAGAGAUCAGGAAGAACACCCGUGGCGAAGGCGGCUCUCUGGGACGGUACUGACGCUGAGACGCGAAAGCGUGGGGAGCGAACAGG
rnacentral:rRNA from 1 species